AUCCAGCUGACGAGUCCCAAAUAGGAAGAAGUGACUCGCAUCCUGGAU
rnacentral:hammerhead_ribozyme from 1 species